UUUUUCAAGCAUUUUUGCAUCCGACUCUUAUUCGUUUUAAAUCAUUUUAUUUUUAUUUUUAUUUUUUAAUCAAAAUAUUCAUGAAAAGUAAAUAUAUUUAAUUGUAGUACUGUUUCAUUUUUUACUAUGAUUAUUUUUAAAGUGUUCAUUUUAUUUAAUUUAUUUUAUUUUAUUUUAUUUUAUCUCUAAAUAACAUUCCAAGGGCAUUAUUGUC
rnacentral:lncRNA from 1 species